rnacentral:tRNA from 1 species
AAGGGUAUAGCUCAAUGGUAGAGCGCCUGCUUAGCAUGCACGAGAUCCUGGGUUCAAUCCUCAGUACUUA